rnacentral:rRNA from 1 species
GACGAACGCUGGCGGCGUGCCUAAUACAUGCAAGUUGAGCGCUGAAGGUUGGUACUUGUACCAACUGGAUGAGCAGCGAACGGGUGAGUAACGCGUGGGGAAUCUGCCUUUGAGCGGGGGACAACAUUUGGAAACGAAUGCUAAUACCGCAUAAAAACUUUAAACACAAGUUUUAAGUUUGAAAGAUGCAAUUGCAUCACUCAAAGAUGAUCCCGCGUUGUAUUAGCUAGUUGGUGAGGUAAAGGCUCACCAAGGCGAUGAUACAUAGCCGACCUGAGAGGGUGAUCGGCCACAUUGGGACUGAGACACGGCCCAAACUCCUACGGGAGGCAGCAGUAGGGAAUCCUCGGCAUUGGACGAAAGUCUGACCGAGCAACGCCGCGUGAGUGAAGAAGGGUUUCGGAUCGUAAAACUCUGUUGGUAGAGAAGAACGUUGGUGAGAGUGGAAAGCUCAUCAAGUGACGGUAACUACCCAGAAAGGGACGGCUAACUACGUG